rnacentral:rRNA from 1 species
CAGCUCGUGUCGUGAGAUGUUCGGUUAAGUCCGCUAACGAGCGCAACCCUCGUCGUGUGUUAUACGUGUCACACGAUACUGCCGGUAUCAAGCCGGAGGAAGUGGGGAUGAUGUCAAGUCAGCAUGGCCUUUAUAUCCUGGGCUACACACACGCUACAAUGGCAGAUACAAUAGGUUGCGAAACCGCGAGGUGGAGCCAAUCCUCAAAGUCUGUCUCAGUUCAGAUUGUAGGCUGCAACUCGCCUGCAUGGAGUUGGAGUUGCUAGUAAACGCAGGUCAGCUAUACUGCGUUGAAUACGUUCCCGGGGUUU